GACGAACGCUGGCGGCGUGCUUAACACAUGCAAGUCGAACGGAAAGGCCCUGCUUUUGUGGGGUGCUCGAGUGGCGAACGGGUGAGUAACACGUGAGUAACCUGCCCUUGACUUUGGGAUAACUUCAGGAAACUGGGGCUAAUACCGGAUAGGAGCUCCUGCUGCAUGGUGGGGGUUGGAAAGUUUCGGCGGUUGGGGAUGGACUCGCGGCUUAUCAGCUUGUGGGUGGGGUAGUGGCUUACCAAGGCUUUGACGGGUAGCCGGCCUGAGAGGGUGACCGGCCACAUUGGGACUGAGAUACGGCCCAGACUCCUACGGGUGGCAGCAGUGGGGAAUAUUGCACCAUGGGCGGCAGCCUGAUGCAGCAACGCCGCGGGCGGGAUGACGGCCUUCGGGUUGUAAACCGCUUUCGCCUGUGACGAAGCGUGAGUGGCGGUAAUGGGUAAAGAAGCACCGGCUUACUACGCGC
rnacentral:rRNA from 1 species